UGGGGAAUAUUGCACAAUGGGCGAAAGCCUGAUGCAGCAACGCCGCGUGAGUGAUGAAGGCCUUCGGGUUGUAAAGCUCUGUCUUUUGGGACGAUAAUGACGGUACCAAAGGAGGAAGCCACGGCUAACUACGUGCCAGCAGCCGCGGUAAUACGUAGGUGGCAAGCGUUGUCCGGAUUUACUGGGCGUAAAGGAUGCGUAGGCGGAUUUUUAAGUGAGAUGUGAAAACCCUAAGCUUAACUUGGGGACUGCAUUUCAUACUGGAAAUCUAGAGUGCGGGAGAGGAGAAUGGAAUUCCUAGUGUAGCGGUGAAAUGCGUAGAGAUUAGGAAGAACACCAGUGGCGAAGGCGAUUCUCUGGACCGUAACUGACGCUGAGGCAUGAAAGCGUGGGUAGCAAACAGGAUUAGAUACCCUGGUAGUCCACGCCGUAAACGAUGAGUACUAGGUGUAGGAGGUAUCGACCCCUUCUGUGUCGCAGUUAACACAAUAAGUACUCCGCCUGGGAAGUACGAUCGCAAGAUUAAAAACUCAAAUGAAUUGAC
rnacentral:rRNA from 1 species